CCCUAAGAGCCAAUAGUAGCGGCGCAUUCAUAAGUCCCGCCCACUGGUCUCGCCGGCGCUGCUUUCAGCGUGAGCAGAUGAGAGCGAGUCAGAGCAGAUCAGCACAGACCAGACAGUUUCUCCAGAAAAUCCAUUGAUAUAACUGGAAAUGUGAAUGAGUGCACUGAAAGUGGAGCUUUUGAAGUCGACGCGUCAGCCUGAAGUGAUGUCGUCGGAGACAGAGAAGAGAGAGAGACGGAGCGGAUCCCAGAGUGUUGAAGCACUACCGAAAGGAAAAGGACAGUGAUUCCCAAACCACAGAGAAAUUAAUUACUGUUGAUGAGUAUCAAGCACAACCUCGACAGAGACUCAGAAGAGGCUGAAAAAAUGGAGGAAAACGAAAAAUUGAGAAAUGAUGACAAAAAAAGCUACCAAAUCUGUUAAAUGAAGUGAAGAUGGCCCUGAAGUCUCUGUUUGUCAGCAUCAGUCACAUAACUUGGAAGAUGGGACAGGAUUUGCCACAGAGUAAUUGCAGAGCCCUUCCAACAGAACAGGAGCAACGUUGCAGAAAGUGUCCUCAUGUGGUGACCGCCAGCAUUGGUACAGCAAUUAAUGCCAAACUUACUGAAAUUAGAGGGAAGAAUACACAAAAACAUCUGAGAACCUUAAUGGUCUUUGAUGAUUGAUAGCCGUGACAGUGUGUUCAAGAUACAGUAUAUGUCAAGGGUCAAAGAUCUUACUGUGCUUCCUGAUUCUCUCUUUUUGGCCCCCAUGAAACCCACCUGCAGUUCUUUGUGUGGAAGGAGAUGCUGGAAUCCAUCAAACCAGUUCCUGAGAGUUUAAUCCUGAAAAAUCCUGGAGAGUCAUACUUAAAAGUGUCUCCAGGGGGCGCCAGAGUCCGACAAGCUGACAGAAUGUCUGGUCUGUAUAAAGACUUCAAUCCAGAUGAUCUGAAGAAGAAUCACAGUAGGAGCAACAAACACUGCAGUCUUAAUAAUAAUCAUAAUCUCUACAGGAAAGAUGUGAGGACAGAGAGAAAGAAGAGAAUGAAAGAAGAAGAGAAUCAUUGAAACUGUGUGUGAAUAUACUUUAAAAUGUAAUUUUAAAAAGUAGGCCUAUAUAGUUGGAAUCUUUUUAUAAAAAUAGCUUGUAGGAUGGCAAAUACAAGACUCUUUGUUUUUUAAUAAAUAAAAUGCUGUAGGCCUACGUAUUAUUAUUAUUAUUAAGUACAAGCAAAAAAAAAAAAGUUUAAAAAAAAAAAUAACGUUAUUAACCGUUAUUUUUUCUAAUCAAACCGGUUUCGGAACGUUAAUAAUACAGAAGGAACGUUGCAGGAACAGAAACGUUAAAAUUCUGCUCGGAGUGAAAAAAUUUCAUUUUUUCUUCGUUUUAAGCACUGGUUCCAACUUCCCACCUUGUCGGUUAUUGUUCACAUGACAGGUAAUAUUUUUUAAAUAUGAUUAG